UCAUGACAUCAAACACCCAAUGUGAUUUAGAAACGCAAAGACAGAGGGAGCCUGACACAAAAUACGAACAACAGUUGCGGAGGAGGGUUCUUGUCCUUUUCAGAAGUCUGCCACUCACAGCUAGUUCAAAUGAGAAGGGGGAGAGGACAGUCUCCAACGCCCCAGAAAGGCCCUUUCCGAUUAUCCUGCAUGAUUGUGGAUUUAGAGCUAGCAGGGACCUUAGAGGCCAUCUGCCCAGCCCCUGGCUUUACAGAGAACUAGCUCAAGGUCACUCAUCAGAGGAGCAUGUCAUAGACACAUACGAUAGACAUCGCAGGCUCUCCUGUCACUUGCCAAGGUCUACUCCCAAUUAAUCCUUCAGGAAGCACCUCGCCAGGGCCAGCUGGAAGACUGAGCACCAAAUACUUUUCAUCCUGGCUGUGCAAUGAUGUUUAAAUCUCCCACCACACCCCUUCCUUAUUGGACCAACAAAGGAGUACGUGGAUUUUCUUCAUGUUGCUUCUUCAAUGAUUACUUCAAGAGUUCAAGGAUCCGAGCCUCAGGGUUUAAGCCCACCAUUCAAUGCUGCAGACCGGCUGCACUCUGGCUCCGUAUUCAAAGCCUGCCUGCAUAGGCUGCUGGUGCCCUGGACUGUCCCCUGGGAGAGACGCUGAAGACAUCAGAAGUGAGACCCAGAGCACUGGCUGGAAUACGGCCAAGGGAGAGGACACCAGCUGCUGCUGGACAAGGCACUGGAGGAUGAAGCUGGUGUACCCUCACUACCAGGAACCAUUGGCAAGCAGUCAAGGGCUGGGAAUGAACAGGUUUCCGAAGAAUGAAAAGCCUUUGAUUACCAUGCGAGAGACUGCUCCGAAUCACCAGUCGAGAGAAACAAAACCAGCCCAAUCGUGAAGUCUUGCCCCACACCAGCAAAUGAACAGAGACGGCAAAAGACGCAAAGCGGUGGCAUUGGAGGGACCGCGGGGAGAUAGACAGAGAAUCAUGCAUGGGUGGUGGAGUUGCAGAUUGAUUCAACUACUCGAGGAAGACACUUUGAGCUAUGCUUAAACAACGGCAACAACUGAAGAGUUCAUGCUGCUUGUCCCUCUGCUAGACACUCCACAUGUACUCCAGGGACCCCAAAAGAACAACCCGAAACACAUCAAGAUGUUCAGAGCAGAAUGGUUUGUGUUGGCAAAGAACUGAAAGCAAAGUAUUGGCCGCCCGUUUGGAAAGAUUCAAAAAGACAGUGGGACAAGAAUAUGACAGACUAUUAAUGCACCACACACACACACACAUACACACACACACACACACACACACACACACAUAUGUAUAAAUAAUUUAGAGAGACAGAGGACUUUUUUGAACUGAGGUAAAGUGAGGCAAAAGUCACCAUGGAAAAAUACACAUAAUUAUGACUAUGUAAACCAAAAACUCACAACAGAAUGACAUUGAGUGGUUAUGAUGCCUGAGCUGAACCCCAGGGGAGAGUUUAGAAAACUCACCUACAUCCCUUCCCCACAAGGGUGGGGGAUGCCAGGUGUGGAACAUUGCCAAUUUUGGCACACAUAAGAGUUGCAUUGGGUUUUUUUCCUGAUCUUUUUUUUUUAUUUUAAAAUCUUUGUUAUGUGGAACAACUUGUUGAGUGAAGGAGGGGGAAAUAAUAUAUUUAGAAGUAAAUGUGAUAAAAACAAAAAGUAUCAAUUUUGGAAACUUUAAACAAUUUUUUUUUAAACAUUGGAUUAUAACUUAGCUUUUCCCAGGAGAACCAGGGUCACCAAACCUUAGAGACGUGAACAACCCCGAGGCCUGUGCAGGCAAUACAUUCCCCAGGGUCAUUGGCUCUGUUUCCUUUCCUCCUGGAGAGGCUUCCUCCUAAAGGUUUGUGGGCUAAUUUGGAGGUGGAGGAAGCUGGAAAACAUAGGCCUACACACACCUCCAAGCUCCCUCAAGACUCCAUGAUUCUAUUCCUCUUACCUGACAAAUGUCAUUGGUUUUGAUGCAGCAAACACUUCCUGACAAAUGCCCCAACAACCCCUCUUACAAAUCACAUUCCCCCAAAGACCUACCGAUCUUUCAGCGGUUACCAGGAAGGAGCGGCGUGGAGGGCCAACCUUUUCCAGGGCCCUGCCAUGACUACAUUUUCACAACAAUUGGCACUGGUAGACCCAAGGAGGAAGAAGAGAGGGCUUUCUGUCAGAAGAGAAUGCCCUAAAAGCUGGAAGUUUGCUCAUCUGAAAGCCAGCAGAAACUGGACCAAGAAAGAAUGAAAGAAUGCCCACCAGACAUCUAGUGGCAAACAUUGCCUCAGACCCAUCACCCAACCUGGGACAACGAAGGCUCAUGGAGGCAGGUCACCAUUUAAAGUGAAGUUAUAGACACAGAUUAAUGUGUGAGAUGAGGACAAGAUUUCAAUCCACACCUUUGAACAUGGAAACCAAACUGCUCUUUUCCUCUUGUUGAAAGUGUGUUAGCAGGUAGAAUAAGGCAGCCUCGGAGGUAGACCUGGCCAACCUGCCUACUCAGGGAAGCAGUUUGCGAAGGGGAAGAAACAUCCAACUGUCCUCUGACUUACUGGGUCUAUGCUGAAAGUCUUUCCUCAACAGCUCCGCCAUUUCUUGGGGGCAACUUGAGGGCCUGGCACACAGGAGGCACUUAACAAAUGCUCAUUGACUGACUGACUCUUCAAGGGAAGAGCCCAGCCCUGACUCUGGAUGAACUGCCCAUGCUCCACCCUUCCAUCCACCCCCGUUCAUUCUUUCCUCGUUUAUCCUGACUCUGCUCGGAGAAGCUAAAUCCCCAGGUAACCAGACAUGCAUGGCACCCCGAGCCAGCCCAUGCUGCUUCCUCUUUAAGAGCUGUGGCCUCUGGAAUGUCGUUGCCCCAGGAUUAAACCACCAGGAGUCUUAUUUCAUCAGUUUGUUGACCAAGACAAGAGCCAGGGGCACCUAAGAGGAUUAUACCCAUUCCCAUGGGUGAGGCCCCAGAUUGGUGCUUUCAUGUUUGAGAAGCAGCCCUGCCUGCUAUUUUCCUGGAUUGGAAGUGACCUGCCACUGAUUGUUCUGAGCCGUUCCCAGGCCAGAGUAAAGGGAUCUCCCUCAGGUGUGAGGCCCAGGAUGUAUUUGGGAAUCAGACUUGGGAGUCUAUAGCUCUCAGAUGCAGCUGGCCCAGGGUCUCCUUGAGAUCUGUCAUUCAGCACCCAGCCCCAGGUGGACGGAGAAGGCGGGGAGCCUGGAAGGUCCUUGUUUUAACCUUGGAGAAGGGCGGCCUCAGAGCUCACUGGAAUGAAGCUUUCGUGUGCUCCAAGAGAGCCAUGUGCAUGCACAGUGAAAGAGGAGGAAGGAGAGGGGAAAGAGGAGCCAAGGCAGGGGAAAGGAGACCAUAGUGGAGGGGAGAGUAUGAGGUCUUCAGCACAGGAGCGCAUCUAGGAACUCUACAGAACCAAGUUAGGGAGAAGUAGGAUAAUUGAGGGGGAAGCAUGUUGCAGAUGGAGUCAAAAGGGUGGGUCUGGGUUCAAAACUUGGCUCCACUCCUUGCUGCCUCUGUGACAUUAGACAAGUGACUUGAUUUCCCCAGGUGUCAGUUUCCUUUCUUUGAAGUGAGGAGAUUGAGCAGCUAUACACAGUGAGUCAGAGAAUGGGGGUUCAAGGUUCACCUUUGAGAGCCUAAGGAAGUGGCUGAAUGCCUCCGUGCCUCAGUGUCUUCCAUUUGUAAAAUGGCAGAGUUGAAUGUGAUGACCUCUAAGGUUCCUUCCAGUUCUGAUCCCACGAUCCUCCUUCUCUCUGAAUGUGUGAUGUAGAGUGCUGGGAUGUUCACAAUGUCUUUGUCCUGCGUCAGAAUGGGAAUGGGAGGGGCAGCUAGGUGAUGCAGUGGAUAGAGCACCGGCCCUGAAGUCAGGAGGACCUGAGUUCA